UACGUAGGGCGCAAGCGUUGUCCGGAAUUAUUGGGCGUAAAGAGCUCGUAGGCGGCCUGUUACGUCUGCUGUGAAAUCCCGGGGCUUAACCCCGGGCGUGCAGUGGAUACGGGCAGGCUGGAGGCAGGCAGGGGAGAACGGAAUUCCCGGUGUAGUGGUGAAAUGCGUAGAUAUCGGGAGGAACACCAGUGGCGAAGGCGACUUCCUGGCCUGUUCUUGACGCUGAGGCGCGAAAGCUAGGGGAGCAAACGGG
rnacentral:rRNA from 1 species